UCAUAGCCCUGAUAGUAGCGGUAUCCUUUUUAUCUGCUUUUUUGCAGAUGAAAAGAUACAAGCGGAUAGCAGGAAUAGCU
rnacentral:sRNA from 4 species